AGGCCACAGGCCACUCAUUGCUUCUCCCCGUGUCCUGCAGGAAAGCUGUGGCAGAAAGGAAAAUACAGCACCAAGGCCCUGAAGCUCCGCAAUAUGUUCCCACAUGCUCCGGCUGCUGGGCUGUCUGUGUACUUCAGGUGCAACCCCAGCUGAGUGCUGCUGCAUCCAGAGCUCAGUCGAAGGUUCUGCACAGUGUCACGGCUGCUCCCACUGCAAUCCCGCUGCGUGGCUUCUGGAUGCACCCACUCCAGCUGAAACACAGACCAUGAGAGAGCACUCCAGGGGAAGUGCUGGAUACCCCAGAGCAUGAGAAGGAGAGGAGCAACAGCCUCACGUUCUCACAGGACCCUCCUACUGCACCAGCAAACUGCAUGAAGAAAACGCUCUCUGGCUUGUUUGGCUACCUCCCACUGCUGUGCCAACCCACUGGCAUGAACUUUAAGGAUCCCUGCAAGAGGCUCUUGUGCUAAACAGCAUAGCACAGCUGACUUUCAAGGAGCACUUAACAUCAGCUGAUUGCUCAGGACCAUACCAGUACCUACACAGUCUUGUGUCAGAAGGGCAGUCAUCUAUUCAUACGGCACCUCUCAUCCUUAAAUGCACGCAGAAGAGGAAUGCGAGACCUUAGCCGGGUGCAGCGUUCCCACAGCAUCCCGGGUCAAUCCAUCCCCAUAAGCAGUCCCUAAGCAAGGUAGCUGGAAGCUCACACAACUAACUAGACAGUGCCAAACCAAGCUGGUCAGAAACCAAAGACAUCUGGAUCUGCUCCAGUGUAUGGGAGCUCAGAGGAGCACUGAUGGGGACUGUGCCACCGCUGACCCAGGUACUGUGUGCUAACCUCUACCUCAGUGUCUGCUCAGUCUGAGCUUCCACUGAGCUCCAGGAGAAUGGUCAUCGGCCGGGUCCAGAAGCUAAAAGGAUUUAGAUAUCCAGCACUAUCUGACUCUUCUGCAACCCUCAGAUUCAGUUUCUCAAUAUUGCAAGGAUUGUUUGCUAAAUGAAAUAAUCCCUCUAACCAAAAAGAAAAUCAUUAUGUGAAAAAUAGAAAUAAGACAGGCAUCCUUUGCAUGCCUUGUUAACUGUGCAGCAAUUAACUGGACCACUAAGGGUUAAUUCUGAUCCUGAGUGGGCCCAAUCAGGUUCGUUUCUGCCAUCUUAUUAGGUUAAAUAAAUAGAAACUUCUUGCAAUAUCCAUCCACAAUGAUAAGCAAUUCCCACUAUAAUGGAUGGCUAAUAUAUAAAUUCAGCCCACAUCAGUUUUGUGUCAACUAGCAAAAACAGAAACAAUGGAAACUAGACAGCCAUGGCUCUGCAUAGGUCAACAACCAAGGUUAUCUGUAUUCAAUUACUGGUAUCUGCAAACUUGCAUACUGUCAGCUGAUCGUAGACUAAAUGAAAACUUAUCAUGCACAGAGGCAGCAAAUACAUUUAUUUGAAGCAGGCAUCAUAUUAGUUCACUGGUUUGACUGUGGUUAAGGGGAAAAAAAAAAAAAGGGUUAUCAGUCUUUUGGGAAAUUCUUUCAAAUAUAACCUGCAGCAAAUAUCUAAAAUUGGGGAUUAUCUGUGUUAUAAAUCUUUGUGCAAAAAGUAGAAAAGGAACAGAAAUUACUCCGUGGCCCUCUAAGACGAUAAAUUAUAUUAUUUAACAAUAGAUAAACUUAGGGCACCUUUCCUGUGGAGCAGCCCUAUUGUGAAUUCGGCUUUAAUCUGCUUCACCUUAACAUCUGGUCGGUGGAACCAAAGAUUUGGCUGUUUGGGACGCAGACAAUAAUUUGUUUGUUAACCGCUCUGCUGGAACAAUACAUCAUCGCAGAAAACAAAGCCUACCAACACAACGCGUUUUUAUCUGUUUCCUCUAUCUGUGUUCCUUUUUCCACAAGUGCAAGUUCAGGCUUUUGAACUGUUUUCCUAGUGAUAAUUUGUGAUGCUGUUAGUUUCAUAACCCUGGAAAAACAGAUACAUUUUUUUUCUCAACCUUCUUUUUCAUCUUUGACCAACAGAUGUUCUGUUCAAAACCUGUAAGCACUCAUGAGGUACGUACCAGCAAAUCGUAAUUGUUAACGCCCCUGUGGAAGGAAAAUGUCAAUAAAUAUUUGUUAUCGCUGGCCUGUUUGGAAACAAAGGCAUUUGCUUUGCAGAAGUUCACGUGCAAGACCUUUCUAUGCAUUUUUUCCAGCAGUCCAUUCAAUCAGACAUCUAACACUUUUUGUUUCUUUUCAGAAGAGGAAGUGAAAAUAACCUCACAGAAUCAAAAAUAAAGCUCAAAAGCACGAGGGCAUCCUGUAUUCCAUGGCAGCGUAAAAUAGCACUUGAGCUCAUUUCAGGGAUCCGAAUGCAGCCACAGAGCUGAGCUGUGAUCCAGAUCCAGCACUUCUCCACUGCACACUGAAGCAGCAAUCAAGGGCUAAAAUGUAAAUGCACGGCACUGUAAUGCAGAGAAAUGGCCCACCAACAUCUGGCUGCUGACAACCGCAGUCCAUACCUAUGGAAAAUCUCCCUAGCCAAAUGACUUAACAUCAGACUUAACUGCGACUUCUCCUCUAGCGAGAGAUACAGAGUGUGCUUGGUUCUGACUUCUCCCUCAUGUCACUGAAGUCCAGACUCAUCCUGCUACUGGAGGAGGAGAUAUUUGUGUAAUCCAGCCCAAUUUUCUCGCACAGAAUUCAGCAGUUGUUAAUCUGGCACAUGGCGAGUGGCACAUUUCCUACCCUCUGAGUUCAGCGAGCUAUUUUAUCAAAGGAACCGAGCGAGAGAAGAAUGCUUUUGUUUUACCACUGUUUCCUUUGCAAGACCCAAUUCUUUCCAUUCCCUUCAGUGGGAAGACGCGGGCAUCAGAUUGCCACCACCGCUGCCAUUCACUGACACGCUGACCCUGCGGCAGGCGCUGCCCUCGGAGCCCUGUGCCAUGGGCAGGAUCAGGCCCUGCACACAGGGCUGACAGGGGAGCUAUAAGAAAUACACGGGCCCUUCUGCUGGGAACGGGGCUGAUCAGCUGAAAGGAACUGGGAGGUGAAAAAUGGGAUUUGGCAGUUCUGCACCACUCCACCAUUUGGUGCUUGCUGUGGGACUCCAGCAAAAGGGAGCUAUCACUACGGGCAUAAUUUACUUGAUUUUAAGGAUCUGUAUGAAUUCUGGCACCAGACCAAGUAGCCAUUAGCUAUGAGGAGUGCUUCCCCAUGCUCAUUUGUUUUCCAUGUGUGAAUUUUCGCUCAUCUGAUCUUUCUUCAGACAAAAUUUUUCUUCAUCAAUUCCAUGUGGAAAAUACAACAAAAAUCCAGAUAAUAAAUUAUUCAAGAAACACAA